UACGUAGGGUGCGAGCGUUGUCCGGAAUUAUUGGGCGUAAAGGGCUCGUAGGCGGUUUGUCGCGUCGGGAGUGAAAAUCCAGGGCUUAACUCUGGACUGGCUUUCGAUACGGGCAGACUAGAGGUAUGCAGGGGAGAACGGAAUUCCUGGUGUAGCGGUGAAAUGCGCAGAUAUCAGGAGGAACACCGGUGGCGAAGGCGGUUCUCUGGGCAUUACCUGACGCUGAGGAGCGAAAGUGUGGGGAGCAAACAGG
rnacentral:rRNA from 1 species